CUGGCCGGGCCCGCAGGGCGUUCCAGGGGUCCGUCGCUCUUGAAGCCGCCGGCGGCGGGCGCGUGCGCGGCCCGAUGAAGAAGGAGGUUUCCAAGCAGUCUCCGCCCAAGUUGAUCGGUGGGUGCGCGCCCCCGCGCGGGGCACCGGUUGCUGUGGACGCAGUGGCGGCCGUUGGCUGGCGGGUGCGGCGCAGCCUUGGUGUCUCUGGGCCGGCGGUGCAGGGCAACGCUUCAUGGUGCCGGGCGGCACCAUGAAGUCUCUAAAGAAGGAUUCCCGCCUCAGAAUAACUCCAACCAGAUUAUUAGAGGCCUCAGAGAGCGUCAAAGAAAAGAAGCGGGCAAAGGGACCUGAACAACCCACACCCACAAUUCAGGAAGAGCCUGAACCUGUUAGCAGUAUCCUACAAGGAGAUGACAUUCUUGCCUUGGCCAUUAAGAAGGAAGACUUGAAGGAGCAACACAUUCCUCGCCUUACUGAAAAGGAAGAUAAACGUGUCAUUACCCAGAAAUUUAUCAUCCGUAAACUCAAACCCACGGAUCCUAGGAGGAAGGUCUGCCACCUUGUAGCACGUCCCGUGAAUCCUGAUGCAGCCACAAAACCUCUGGACUACUCUGGUCCCGGUGACAGCUUCGAUGGCAGUGACCAGAUCCUGCCCCACCACAUCUUGGGGAGUCUCCAGGACUUUAAGAGAAUUGCACUUGCUCGAGGGAACACCCGGCUGGCUGAGCGGAUACCUACCUCACCCUGUCUGAUGACCCUCAUCUCUGCUGAAGGAGAGUCAAAGCAAAAAGCCCCAAAAGAAGAGAAGAGACCUCCCUGGGCCCCAUCUCCUCAGCACAACUUUCUGAAAAACUGGCAGCGUAACACAGCCCUGCGGAAGAAGCAGCAGGAAGCCCUCAGCGAACACCUAAAGAAGCCAGUCAGUGAGCUGCUCAUGCACACUGGGGAGACCUACAGACGGAUCCAGGAGGAGCGGGAGCUCAUUGACUGCACACUUCCAACCCGGCGUGAUAGGAAAAGCUGGGAGAACAGUGGGUUCUGGAGUCGACUGGAAUACUUGGGAGAUGAGAUGACAGGUCUGGUCAUGACCAAGACAAAAACUCAGCGUGGCCUCAUGGAGCCCAUCACUCACAUCAGGAAGCCCCACUCCAUCCGGGUGGAGACAGGAUUACCAGCCCAGAGGGAUGCUUCGUACCGCUACACCUGGGAUCGGAGUCUGUUUCUGAUCUACCGACGCAAGGAGCUGCAGAGAAUCAUGGAAGAGCUGGAUUUCAGCCAGCAGGAUAUUGAUGGCCUGGAGGUGGUAGGCAAAGGGCGGCCCUUCUCGGCUGUUACUGUGGAAGACUACACAGUGUUUGAAAGAAGUCAGGGAAGCUCCUCUGAAGAGACAACAUACUUAGGCACACUGGCCAUUUCCUGUGAUGUCUCCAUGCCUAUUCUCGGCCCUUCUCUGCUGUUCUGUGGGAAGCCAGCUUGCUGGAUCAGAGGCAGUAAUCCACAGGACAAGGUAAAACUGCCUCCACCACACCUGCUGGGAGAGCCUCCCUCAGGGGUGCAGCCCCGAGGUGACUGGCAGUUACCAGCAGCCUGCACAGUCUCCUGUUUGGGUUUUUAUCUGGUCGUGCAUUCAGCACGUCUGAAAAUGGUGACAGCAACACUAAUUUGAGCAAGAAUAAAAUCACAAGGCUGCAGAGUGUCAUAAGCCACCUGGGGCUUAUACCCAGCCCCCAAGCAUGUAAGCAGGCAAACUCAAGUAGUAUGGCUCUAAGAAGGUUCUAAAAUAUACUUCAGAUGCUAAGGAAUAGAAGUGUUCAUUGGAUAUAAAAUAUAUUUUAUCUGGCCAGGCACAAAGGCUCAUGCCUUGUAAUCCCAGCACUUGGGGAGGCUGACGUGGGUGGAUCACCUGACAUCAGGAGUUCAAGACCAGCCCUGGCCAACAUGGUGAAACCCCAUCUCUACUAAAAAUACAAAAUAGCAGGGCAUGGUGGUGGGCACCUGUAAUCCCUGCUACUUGGAAAGCUGAGGCAGGAGAAUCGCUUGAACCUGGGAGGCGGGGGUUGCAGUGAGCUGAGAUCACGCCAUUGCACUCCAAC
rnacentral:sRNA from 1 species